rnacentral:rRNA from 1 species
GACGAACGCUGGCGGCGUGCUUAACACAUGCAAGUCGUACGGUAAGGCCCUUUCGGGGGUACACGAGUGGCGAACGGGUGAGUAACACGUGAGUAACCUGCCCACAACUUUGGGAUAACGCUAGGAAACUGGUGCUAAUACUGGAUAUGUGCUCCUGCUGCAUGGUGGGGGUUGGAAAGCUCCGGCGGUUGUGGAUGGACUCGCGGCCUAUCAGCUUGUUGGUGGGGUAGUGGCCUACCAAGGCGGCGACGGGUAGCCGGCCUGAGAGGGUGACCGGCCACAUUGGGACUGAGAGACGGCACAGACUCCUACGGGAGGCAGCAGUGGGGAAUAUUGCACAAGGGGCGCAAGCCUGAUGCAGCAACGCCGCGUGCGGGAUGACGGCCUUCGGGUUGUAAACCGCUUUCAGCAGGGACGAAGCUUUUUGUGACGGUACCUGCAGAAGAAGCACCGGCUAACUACGUG